GCCCGGAUCCUGUGCAAUGCCAGCCUGUGAACCGCGUCAGGGCCGGAAGGCAGCAGCGCUCAGCAGUGUCUGUCAUGUGCCGCAGGGCCAUCCGGGUCGC
rnacentral:SRP_RNA from 1 species